GAUGAACGCUAGCGGCAGGCUUAAUACAUGCAAGUCGAGGAGCAGCACAGGUAGCAAUACUGGGUGGCGACCGGCAAACGGGUGCGGAACACGUACACAACUUACCUUCUGGUGGGGGAUAGCCUUUGGAAACGGAGAUUAAUACCCCAUAUUAUAUAUGAGCUGCAUGGUUUGUAUAUUAAAGAUUUAUUGCCGGAAGAUGGGUGUGCGUAUGAUUAGGUAGUUGGCGGGGUAACGGCCCACCAAGCCGACGAUCAUUAACUGGUGUGAGAGCACGACCAGUCACACGGGCACUGAGACACGGGCCCGACUCCUACGGGAGGCAGCAGUAAGGAAUAUUGGUCAAUGGACGGAAGUCUGAACCAACCAUGCCGCGUGGAGGAUGAAGGUCCUCUGGAUUGUAAACUUCUUUUAUAGGGGGCGAAAAAAGGGAAUUCUUUCUCGUCUGACGGUACCCUAUGAAUAAGCACCGGCUAACUCCGUGCCAGCAGCCGCAGUAAAAC
rnacentral:rRNA from 1 species